ensembl:misc_RNA
AUCACGUUCCCAUGUAUGUGAGUAUUCAAUCAAAGACAUUUGGUUGUUUUCCAAAAUUGGCUCUCUCUUAAAGGUCAAAAC